rnacentral:snoRNA from 8 species
GCAGACUCACUUGGAACCUGACUGCAACUCAAGAUGGGUGCUUUUUCCUUCUGCCAGAAUAACAUUCUGGGGUGCUGUGGCCACCUGACCUGUCAAGACUUAUGUAGCUGCCCAGGAACACAGGG